rnacentral:rRNA from 1 species
UAUCCUGGCUCAGGAUGAACGCUGGCGGCGUGCUUAACACAUGCAAGUCGAACGAAGCACCUGAGAAUGAUUCUUCGGAUGAAGUCUCUUGUGACUGAGUGGCGGACGGGUGAGUAACGCGUGGGUAACCUGCCUCACACAGGGGGAUAACAGUUGGAAACGACCGCUAAUACCGCAUAACCCGCUGGUGCCGCAUGGCACUGACGGAAAAGAUUUAUCGGUGUGAGAUGGACCCGCGUCUGAUUAGCCAGUUGGCAGGGUAACGGCCUACCAAAGCGACGAUCAGUAGCCGGCCUGAGAGGGUGAACGGCCACAUUGGGACUGAGACACGGCCCAGACUCCUGCGGGAGGCAGCAGUGGGGAAUAUUGCACAAUGGGGGAAACCCUGAUGCAGCGACGCCGCGUGAGUGAAGAAGUAUUUCGGUAUGUAAAGCUCUAUCAGCAGGGAAGAAAAUGACGGUACCUGAUUAAGAAGCCCCGGCUAACUACGUG